rnacentral:rRNA from 1 species
GACGAACGCUGGCGGCGUGCUUAACACAUGCAAGUCGAACGGAGUGGCGAACGGGUGAGUAACACGUGGGUGAUAUGCCUUGCACUUCGGGAUAAGCUUGGGAAACUGGGUAUAAUACCGGAUAGAGCAAGAUGUGCUCGCGGCCUAUCAGCUUGUUGGUGGGGUAAUGGCCUACCAAGGCGUCGACGGGUGGCCGGCUUGGGAGGGUGUACGGCCACAUAGGGACAGAGGUACGAGCCAGACGCCAACUGGAGGAAGCAGUGAAAGAUAUUGCACAAAGGGCGGAGGCAUGGAGCAGGGACGCCGGGUGGGGAAUGUAGGCCUUCGGGUUGUAAACUCCUUUCGGCGAAGACGCGGUACCUGUAUAAAAAGCACCGGCUAACUACGUGCCAGCAGCCGCGGUAAUAC